rnacentral:rRNA from 1 species
UACAGAGGUCCCAAGCGUUGUUCGGAUUCACUGGGCGUAAAGGGUGCGUAGGCGGGUUUUUAAGUCAGGGGUGAAAUCCUGGAGCUCAACUCCAGAACUGCCUUUGAUACUGAAGAUCUUGAGUCCGGGAGAGGUGAGUGGAACUGCGAGUGUAGAGGUGAAAUUCGUAGAUAUUCGCAAGAACACCAGUGGCGAAGGCGGCUCACUGGCCCGGUACUGACGCUGAGGCACGAAAGCGUGGGGAGCAAACAGG